AGGGUAUCAAGAUAGAGAUUGUAAGACCUAGUGUGGUGCUCCCAAGGCUUAGGGGAUCAAGAGAAAGAUCAAGAUUUAUGACCCAUGAGACAUUCAUGGGGGUUCUAGGGCUAGUUUGGGCCCUAGGAUGAACGGCUGUCAGCCUUCAUAGUUUUUUGAGAUCCAUGAGAUUUGGACGUUGAGGGGCUAAUUUGUAUUGGACUCAGUUUGAAUUCAAAGAAGAUGAGAUUAAGUCA
rnacentral:lncRNA from 1 species